rnacentral:rRNA from 1 species
AAAGCAUCUAAGCACGAAACUUGCCCCGAGAUGAGUUCUCCCUGACUCCUUGAGGGUCCUGAAGGAACGUUGAAGACGACGACGUUGAUAGGCCGGGUGUGUAAGCGCAGCGAUGCGUUGAGCUAACCGGUACUAAUGAACCGUGAGGCUUAACCUUACAACGCCGAAGGUGUUU